UAUACAAGACAAGUUGGAUAUACAUUUAAAAUAAGCGAAUCAAAUAUGCUCAGGGAUAGAAACAGGUGUUUGGCAGUAUGGUGUAUUUUAACCGUCAUAGGCUGUGUCCUGACGGAGCAAUGCUUUGAGAGGAGCGACUGUGGCCACACCCAGUGUGGUAGUGGGUACCGGGUCCAAUGUAUAACGUACAACUGCCUUGGGCAUGGGCUUUGUGUCUGCAACCCGGGUGCAGGAGCGUGCCAGAGCACCCACGACUGCAUAGGUCACUGCCAACAUCCGGAUGCCCACGACGCCUGCGUGGGCGGCGCAUGUAUCUGUCAGUCUUGAACCUUGUUUACGAUGUUGUAACAUUAAAU